ensembl:lncRNA
GGGAAACAUUAUAUAUAUCUGUAACACUUUUGUAAAUUACUUUUUUUUUAUUUUUUUUUAUUUUUUUUUUUUAUCGUGUUCCUAUAUUUUCAAAAAUGAGUAUGUAUUUUUUUUUAUUAUUCGAAAGUGUGGUAUUGCUGAUCAAUAGUGUUUUAAUUAUAAAUGAAAAGAAGCUAAAAAAAUAUAAAAAGAUAGACAUCAGUUUAAAUAGUAAUGACAUUUUUGAUAACAUGAAGCUGCUAUUUUACACAAUAAGAAUUUAUUUUAAAAUACCUUUAAUUUUUCUUAAUUUAUUAUGUAUAAUCAUUGAAUUUUUAUUUGGGUAGUUUUUAACACAUAGCGUGAGUAAGCAUGCUUUUUGAUUAAAUGUGAGAGCAUAUACACAAGCGUAUUCAUAUGUAUACAUACACGCAUAUAUUUAUACCCUAUGUAAUUUUAUAUCUGUUUAUUAACAUUUGAACUUUUUUAUUUGCCUCAAAUAUAUGUACAUGUAUAUGCGCAUAUGUUUACGCUCUUAUCAAAAUUAGUUACGAAGUAAUUUCAUCGUACCAUAGUUUACCUUUAAUAAGUAUCUAAGUAUUGAUUUAAAAAAAAAAAAAAAAAAAAAAAAAACGUAAAUUAUAGCUCAUGCUGUUUUAUUUGAACUGUUUAUUAAGAAGAGUUUUUCCCUGACUUUUUUAACAUAUAUAUAUAUAUAUAUAUAUAUAUACGUACGCAAUGUGUGAGAAUAAACUAUGUGGACAUAUGGACUUCUUGUUUAAUUAAUAUCUGCUACACGUUUAUGCUUUGCAAUUUUUUUUUUUUUUUUUUUUUUUUUUUUUUUUUUUUUUUCACUCCAGCGUUAUUACACAUUCAUCUCAUUCGGAUAAUAUGACUUCUAGUUACAUAAAUGAAGUUCGAAAAAAACAAAAAGAAUAUUUAAAUAAAUUAUUUUGCAAGUUCGAAAAAUACUCUAAUGAAAAAUUCUUAAAUAAUUUACUAAAUAAGUCGUUAAACGAAAUAGCUUUGUAUCCUUUUCAAGAUGUAAAUGACAAUGACGUUAUUAACGAAAUUAACAACUAUAUUAAUGAGUUGACUAUAAAUGCAAAUUAUAAAAAAAAACGCAUUUUAAAACAUUUAUGUGAAAAAUUUCUAGCUAAUAGUUUUUACGUGUAUGAUCAGAAAGACAGAUAUGACUUAAAAUAUGUUAUAUUAAGUGUAUUAUUUUUAAUAAGAGAUAGUACAAUUAUUGAAAAUACAAAAGAGGUUGAUUUUAUUUAUGAUAAGUAUUUUAACUAUGCUACAACUGCAAAAAAAAAAAAAAAUGCGUAUGGCCAUUUAAAUAUUAAUGAACAAAAGGCAUUAGACGAUAUAUAUAAAUUCAACAUAGAGGAAGAAAAAAAAUAUAUAAAAGAUUUACAUGACGAUAUAGAGGAAGAAGAUGAAUACUCCGAUCUAUCAUCAUCAUCAUCAUCAUCAUCAUCAUCUCCUUCGUCUUUGUCAGAAGUUGAUGAAAGGGACAAAGAUAAUAGACGUGGUACAAAUCAUAAUAAAUAUAUCCAUAGCCGUCAAUAUGAGUACGAUACUUAUGAAUAUGAUGAAGAUGACUCAACUGAAACGGAAACCGAAUCAGUCGAUAGUAUGGACACAUAUCCAAUUGAAAAGAAUAACAAAAAAAAGAGUAUUAAUCUACAUACCGAUUUAAAUAAUAAUGACUUUACACAUAUUGCAAGAUACCAAACAGGUGAGACAAAUAAUAAAGCAUAUGGUAGUUAUGAUGCUUUUAAUGAAACGAAAUAUAACAUUUUAAUUGAGAGUUACUUAAAAAACAACAAUAAAUUAACAUAUGAAAAUGUAAUUAAAAAAGUAUAUGAUUGUGUGUAUAAUUACCCACAUUAUGAGGACGUAAAAACUAAGUUAAAUAGUGCUUCAAACAUUUUUUCAGAAAAAAACAAAAUAAGAAAAAAAAAGGAAAAUUCAAAUGAUAUACAUGCAACUAGUAACAACUAUAAUGAUAGGAAUAAUGAAUUAGGUUUCUGUAAUAAAAAUUAUACAUCAAAUGAAGAUGCAUGUGACGAAAAUAUUGCUGUAGACAAUAGCUAUGACGAUAACAAUUCAAGUCCAAGCUCAGAGGAAGAUAUACUAAGAAGUUUAAAAAAAAAAAAAAAAAAAGAUUUUAUGUCAAUGAAAAAACCAAAAGAACAAUAUUUUUUUAAUACAUUGAAUUUAUUUAAUGAAGAAAGUUAUGAAAAUUUGGAAAAUGAGCAAAAUGUAAUAUAUCAAACGGAUAUAUAUAAUUUACAUAACGUUUUUCGAACAAGUUCUACUUUUGACGAGCUCCAUGAGUUUACCGAAUCAGGUAUGGGUAAAGAAAAGCAAAAAGAUAAAGACAUACAAUUACAUAAACAGAAACAGCAGCAAAACAUCAUUACUACCCAGAAAUACCAAACAAAAGGAACAAAUUUUGAUAAUGAAAACGAUGUGGAUAAUAAAAACCAAGUAGAUAAAAAUAAUAGUACAUGCCCAAAUGGAAAAAACGAAACGAUCGAAUAUGCAUAUAACAAUAACCCAAAUCAAACAAAUGCUGUUGUCGAUAACAACUUGAACCACAAUUGGAACACAACAGAUAAAGUAGGUUUUACACAUAAUUAUAAGAACAUCCAUAAAGAUAUAGUAACCGAUGUGUAUACAAACAAAAACAAAAGAAACAACAACAACAACAAUAGCAAUAAAAACAGCAGGCAAAAAAAGAACUCUUUUUAUGUAAGUGAGAUAUUUAUUAUAAAAGAAAUAUUAAUGCUAUUAUCUUUAAAUUGUCCUAUAAAAUUUCAAGAUAAUUUUUUUAUAAAUUUUGCUGAUUUUUUAUUUAAUAAUGCAAUGAAUAAAGAUAAAAUAAAAGAUGAUUUUUUAUUUUACAUAGAAAUAAAAAAAAAAAUAAUAAGAAAAAAAACUA